rnacentral:lncRNA from 1 species
ACAUCAUCUACUAAAUUGAUUUCACACCCCGCUAAUGGAUGGUGAGGCACAGUUUGAAAAACUGCAUUCUUUCAGGACACUGAAUGGUCAGAACCCAAUGUGCUUUUAUUCAUUCAUUCAACAAAUAUUUGUGGCCAUGUAUAAUGUAUCAGGUGCUGUAUUUACUGUACUUCAUGCCAGGAAAGCAACAGAGAAGAAAACAUACCCAGUCCAGUCCCUGACCUCAUGUCAUUUACAAUCUCGGCUAAUCAAGUUCACAAAUAAAUAAUUCCAAAUCAUGAUGGGAGUGAAGCCAUAGAGGAUAAGAGGGCUCGGGGUGGUGAUCAGAGGUCUCUGAGGCAAUGAUCUGGAAGCUGCCACCUACAAGAUAAAGAGUAAGCAAGAUAGAGACAGCAGGAAUGAGCUCUCCGACGGAGGGCAUGAACAGCAAGUGCAAAGGCCCUGCGACUCGAAAGAGCAUGAAAGACUGAGGAAGCGGCCAGUGUGGCUCCAACACAGUGGAGGAGUGGGGGGAUCCUACUGAGAUAGAGGCCCUGGGCUGAAUAAUUCUCAUCCUUCAAGGCCCAACUCCAGCCAAUGGCACCGACCUCCUGGACCUGCUAGGCAGAAGUGGUGGCUCCCUCUCAGCUGACCCCAGAGCACUUCCUUAGCUCCUGCUGAUCUCAGAGCACACACACCAAUCCACUCUGGCCACUCAGCAAUUUUUCUUGAUGGCCCUGGCAUGGCACCUAUGCUGGGGUCAGACCCUCAACCAGCCCUUCAGUGUUGAAAUGCACAACCUCAGCCCUCUAGCCUCAGCGGAGGAAGCAGGGCUCUUCAGUUUGGGAGAACCAUAUACAACCAGAAGAAGGGGCCAAAAUAUCUGAAGCCCCCAGGAGCUGGCUCCUCCACAGCUCUCAGGAAUGACAGUAAACACAGACGGCCCUGCAUGUAUUCCGGCUGUGGCAGCCUUCCUCCUGGGCUGCACAUCAGGCUAACAAGCCCAGCCCUCAGCUUCACAGGGAUUGGAGAGCUGGUGACCCUAGUCAAGGAAGCUGGUGACCCUGGAUCAGUUGCCUCCCCUCUCUGUGCCUAAAUCCCCCACCCCACUUCUGUCAAUUAGGAGGAUGAUGCCUUCUUCAAAGUGUUGUCAUAAAGAUUAAAUCCUUAUUAAAGUCU